CACUUGAGGGCGGUGUAAAGGCAGUGCAGUUUCCAGAUGGCCUUAUUGCUUCAUUCUUGGCCUGCCAAACAGACGUUAUCGACAGAGCAAUCCAGCUGAUGAUACAUCCUCAUUCAGCUGCCCUCCUGCAUGGAUGAAUUCGGGAGAACUGUAAAUGGGGACUGGCAUAUGGCAUUUUCAUUGUAGCUGUUUGAAAGUAUAGUGACAUUAUGAAGCAUAUGCUCACCCUUCAUUUCUGGUGACAUGAUGGACUGAAGAGGACUUUAUAACAUUUCUGUCAGAGAGCUGGAUAAGGAAGGUGAGCAUGUCAUGUCAACAGCUGAUUUUCGAUCACAGCGGCCUACUUUACGCCCGGACUGAUGUGAGGAAACAAGAUUAUAUUUUUGAGUAACAGAGCUGAGAUGAGGGUGACUGAUGUGGCACUGUCAGUUUUAAAUGUUUUCAUCUUGGCAGGACUGUAAUAUAAAAAUUUAAUUGAAUAA